rnacentral:rRNA from 1 species
CCUACGGGAGGCAGCAGUAGGGAAUUUUCGUCAAUGGGCGCAAGCCUGAACGAGCGAUGCCGCGUGAGUGAAGAAUGCCUUCGGGUCGUAAAGCUCUGUUGAGGGGGAAAAAAGGUAGCAUCAGUAAAUGGGUGCUGCCUGAUGGUGCCACGCCAGAAAGUCACGGCUAACUACGUGCCAGCAGCCGCGGUAAUCCGUAGGUGGCGCGCGUUAUCCGGAAUGAUUGGGCUGAAAGGGUGCGCAGGCGGUUCUGCAAGUCUGGAGUGAAACGGAUGAGCUCAACUCAUGCAUUGCAUUGGAAACUGGAGGACUGGAGAGCAGGAGAGGGCGGUGGAACUCCAGGUGUAGCGGUAAAAUGCGUAGAUAUAUGGAGGAACAUCAGUGGCGAAGGCGACUAUCUGGCACAUAACUGACGCUGAGGAGCGAAAGCGUGGGUAGCAAACAGGAUUAGAUACCCUGGUAGUC